UCCAGGAAAACAAUAUCUCUGUUAAUUUC
rnacentral:sRNA from 1 species